rnacentral:rRNA from 1 species
GAUGAACGCUGGCGGCGUGCCUAAUACAUGCAAGUCGAGCGAACGGACGAGAAGCUUGCUUCUCUGAUGUUAGCGGCGGACGGGUGAGUAACACGUGGAUAACCUACCUAUAAGACUGGGAUAACUUCGGGAAACCGUAGCUAAUACCGGAUAAUAUUUUGAACCGCAUGGUUCAAAAGUGAAAGACGGUCUUGCUGUCACUUAUAGAUGGAUCCGCGCUGCAUUAGCUAGUUGGUAAGGUAACGGCUUACCAAGGUAACGAUGCAUAGCCGACCUGAGAGGGUGAUCGGCCACACUGGAACUGAGACACGGUCCAGACUCCUACGGGAGGCAGCAGUAGGGAAUCUUCCGCAAUGGGCGAAAGCCUGACGGAGCAACGCCGCGUGAGUGAUGAAGGUCUUCGGAUCGUAAAACUCUGUUAUUAGGGAAGAACAUAUGUGUAAGUAACUGUGCACAUCUUGACGGUACCUAAUCAGAAAGCCACGGCUAACUACGUG